UAUUUCAGAUGCUGGUGCUGCUACUGCUGGACCAGGUGAUGUGAUGUAUGCCAAGAUUCAACUCAAAAAGUGGGACAAGAAAAAGAAAAAAAUGACAGCUGGUCCAAAAGAAAAUCCAGUCUAUUCUGAGGUCAAGACAGGGAAGACCACAACAGCAACUGGACCUGUUGAUGUGACCUAUGCUGAGGUUGACCUUAAACAUGAGGCC